CAUUAACAGCCAGUUCCACGAUAUCGAAAGAACACGUUCGCACAACUUUUACACGACAAACAGCUGAUUUCCGUUCCACUAAAAUCCAUCAGAACGAAAAUUUGCACGAAAAUCAAAGCGAACGAAAACGUAAGCAUUUCAGUGUAAUUUUGCGUUCCACUAUCUUUUUUCUUUCGUACGCAUGCGAACACAAAUGUCAAAAUCAGUCACUUGUGUUUUUGCUAUCGUAUAAUAACAAUUAAGGAAAAUUGUUUUAACAUAAACAUUGCUUGAUUGAAAAUGGAAACAAAAAUCACGAAAAAAUCAUCAACUACACAGCUGCGGGCACUAGUAUAUGGAGGAGAAUCCUGUGUUCGCCAGAGGAGUGCCAAUUUUUGGAAGCAGCAGAAGAAGUUUUAAAUCGGGGCGGAUUUGGGUAGUUCUGCAACCGGGCACCCACUUCUCUUCCAUCUUAUCCAAAAGAGCCCGAAAACUUCCUUCGACACACGAAAAUUGGCCACAAACCUUGAAAAAAUUAUUAUUAUUAUUUUUUAUUAUUUCAAAAAUGUAAAAAUACAAUCAUACUUACUGGUUGUUAGGUACUUCAAAUAAAUUCGAAGCAUCUCUUAAA